UGGGGAAUAUUGCACAAUGGGCGAAAGCCUGAUGCAGCAAUGCCGCGUGUGUGAAGAAGGCCUGCGGGUUGUAAAGCACUUUCGGUAGGGAAGAUUAUGACGGUACCUACAGAAGAAGCACCGGCUAACUCCGUGCCAGCAGCCGCGGUAAUACGGAGGGUGCAAGCGUUAAUCGGAAUUACUGGGCGUAAAGCGCGCGUAGGCGGUCUUGUAAGUCGGAUGUGAAAGCCCCGGGCUUAACCUGGGAACUGCAUUCGAUACUGCUUGACUAGAGUAUGGUAGAGGGUAGCGGAAUUCCGGGUGUAGCGGUGAAAUGCGUAGAUAUCCGGAGGAACACCAGUGGCGAAGGCGGCUACCUGGACCAAUACUGACGCUGAGGUGCGAAAGCGUGGGGAGCAAA
rnacentral:rRNA from 1 species